rnacentral:lncRNA from 1 species
GCCUUCCUCCUUCACCUCCCUGUAUUCCACUCCGGCGGAAGCCUUGGCUGCAGUCUCUCACCCCGGGGUGGGGCUUCUGUCUCCAGGAAACCUGCAGACACACCCAGGACUGUGCGGUCCAGUUUAGCUGGGGGUUCUCACUCUGGCUGACACAGUCAGUUAACUGUCACAUUUAUAUAUUCUGGGUGUCUCCUCUCAAGACAGCUUGUGCCAGGGGUGAUCCAAGGGGCCGGCCUCAGAAGAAGCAUCUUUAGCAUGGAACACUCACCAGCAGUAAGCUUAAGAGCCUCUCCUAGAGUGCCAUUCACCACCCAAGAGGUACCGAGAUGGAGCGGAGAGAGGGCGGCCAAUCCACGUCCACUCUGCUCCCGCUGGCACGCAGGUGCAGGACGCAGCACCCCUGCCCGCAGUGACAGAGGAGAGCAGGUGCCCAGUGCACCAGAGAGACAGUGCCUUGCAGUUUCAUUGCCUAAUGUGCUUUAUCUUUAGACAAUCUGAAGGCCACUGGUUUUGUGUACAAACAUGUUCCCUAAAUAAAUAUCAG